CCAGUGGAGCUGCUGUUACUUU
rnacentral:miRNA from 20 species